rnacentral:rRNA from 1 species
AGAGUUUGAUCCUGGCUCAGAACGAACGCUGGCGGCAGGCCUAACACAUGCAAGUCGAGCGCCCCGCAAGGGGAGCGGCGGACGGGUGAGUAACACGUGGGAAUUUUCCUCAAGGUACGGAACAACUCAGGGAAACUUGGGCUAAUACCGUAUGAUGCAGAGAUGCCAAAGAUUUAUCGCCUUGGGAUAAGCCCGCGUCAGAUUAGGUAGUUGGUGAGGUAACGGCUCACCAAGCCUGUGAUCUGUAGCUGGUCUGAGAGGACGAUCAGCCACAUUGGGACUGAGACACGGCCCAAACUCCUACGGGAGGCAGCAGUGGGGAAUCUUGCGCAAUGGGCGAAAGCCUGACGCAGCCAUGCCGCGUGAAUGAUGAAGGUCUUAGGAUUGUAAAGUUCUUUCGCUCGUGACGAUGAUGACGGUAACGAGAGAAGAAGCCCCGGCUAACUUCGUGCCAGCAGCCGCGGUAAUACGAAGGGGGCUAGCGUUGUUCGGAAUUACUGGGCGUAAAGCGCGCGUAGGCGGCUUUGCAAGCCAGAGGUGAAAUGCCUGAGCUCAACUUAGGAAUUGCCUUUGGGACUGCGAGGCUUCGAGGACUGGAGAGGUGAGUGGAAUUCCCAGUGUAGAGGUGAAAUUCGUAGAUAUUGGGAAGAACACCAGUGGCGAAGGCGGCUCACUGGCCAGUUUCUGACGCUAAAGUGCGAAAGCGUGGGGAUCAAACAGGAUUAGAUACCCUGGUAGUCCACGCUGUAAACGAUGAGUGCUAGGCGUCGGCACGCUUGCGUGUCGGUGCCGCAGCUAAC